UUAAAUCGUCUAGAUUCUUGCCAUUAGGGAUGCAGAGAGGCAGUGGCUAUGGCCGUGUUUGAACGCUUCAGAUAUGUACGUACAAGGAUAUAGCAACCCUCAUUUCCACGUGCUCUGUACAGAAGACUCACAUCCCUAUGCCAGGGUAAAAUGCCAGCCAGAAACAUGACUGUCUCACAGCCAGAUUAUUAUCAAGAGUUGUCAGGUACGUAACACUGGGAUUUCUGCCAGGAGGGAAGAAACAAAUGUGCCCUACAGUGUGGAUUUCGGCCCUCAAGUCCGAGUGUGGUUGGAAGAGGUGUGCAUUUCUAAGAUCAUAAACGUCAUUACCUUGACCAUCAACAUGAAGCGAUUAGAGUCAUAUUUAUUGAUGAAACUUUCAGCUCCCAGCCUCCCACACUGAGUGUGUAUCAUACAGCUGUCAGCAGAGCUCGGGCACCACAAAGAUGGAGGGAAAGAGGGAUGCAGAGAGGAGGAAGAGAUAACAGAGCACCAGGAGAAUGAGGUAACUGUCGCUAAGGCAGAAAUGCAAUGGACUCAAAAACUGAUAGAACAACUCUCCAAAUGGGUGGCUCACUCAAGCCGCUUUCCCUGGAUGAAUGUAGCCGUCAUCUCUCGUCAAAGAAGCCUCUCUUUACAGCAAAUGGAGACCACUGCAUAGAACUCCAACUGCACAAUGCAGAGGUCAAUACAUCAUGGCGAGCCCAGCCAGUGGAUGCAUCUGCAUCUGCACUCCUGCGACUCUGGCUCAAGGAACCUCACAGAAGAGCGGAGGGAAAUAUUAUGAGUCAGAAUACUAUGUCUGCCAUGACAGGCAAAAAGUGGGCACGUAAACAAGAUCAGAACAAUGGAAAAGGGAUAAAGCCAGAGGAGCCAUGCUGCACAGGGUUUGAGAUGAAGCCUGUCAGCCAGCAUCAGGGCUGAAAAUUACAGCUGAUUAAAGGAAUAAAAAACCUCCAGGAUCAUCCGCUCUUCUUGAAAUUGACAAGCGAAGGUUCUACCCCUUUAUACGCCUGGUGGGCUCUCAGCUCUGAGAGGAGCUUUUUCCGGAACCCUGUUUAUAACCCCGAGAAGGAGAAAGGAAUGAACUCGCAACCUUUUAGGAGGCUUUAAAUGCUUUGUUUUCACUCCGCAGCUAUUUUUUUUUUUAUCUUAAAAACAAACAACACCAGGGAACUUUGGUUGGAGAAUAAACAGCAUAUCUUCCUAACAGAGACAAAGCUUCCAAAGCCAAGGAAGCAGGUAGCUGUGAGUCCCCAUGUCUGCCGCUUGUUUUAGGGGGAAGGUUUGCAGGUUUAAAAGGCUGCAAAGCCCUGCUUCCCUUUCUGAAGGAGCCCAGGAAAUAAUCUCCUGCAAAUAAAAGGGAGCUUCACACUAUCUGACGGUCACACUAAUAUAAUGCCCUCUAAAACGCUUUGCGAGAACCACGUUCUCAGCCAUUAAGUUCAGGGAUGCGAAGGAGGCACCGUAAUGCCGGC